GUAGACUAUGAAGACAGGUUUAAAAACCACCAAGACAAAAAACUUGCUAUUUUCUACGCCAUUUCUGGCACCAUUACUGACGAAGACGAGUACAAGGCUAAAGCUGCGGAGGAGUUUGCAUUGCAUGGUGUUAAAAACGGAGUUUACUUAGUUGUGCACCUAGCCAGCCUAUCUGCUGACAUCAAAGAGAAAUACAUAUUUCCAUCGAAGGAUAGCUUGGUUUUCCAAUGGGAAAAUAAGUACAGACAUGUCCGUAUUACUGACAAA